AAAAAAAGGAAGGAAAAAUCCCCAAAUAGAAGAUGCUGAAUUUUCAGCUCCAUGCCCCUGUCUGUUGUUGCUUAUAGAAACAUGAGGAGGUAGCAGAUACAAGGCAGGAGUGUUUGACAGCAUGGAAGGCCGUGUGUUUGGAAUCACUAAAAAACCAUCUCCAGUGGUCAUACAGUUAAGACUAGGAGAUCCCAAGAAGGGCAGCCUUGGGUGGUUUGCUAAAGAGUAUUGCUGGAUCAGUUCCCUGCAGAACCAGAGGAGCAUCUCACUGCUGAGGUUCACUACAAGGAUCGCUGUUUAGUUCUCCCUCCAAGCAUUCUGUGAUGGGAGGAUUUGCUAAGCUUGUGUGUACUUCAGGGCCAGGUCAGGCUGUGUGUUAUUCACUCUCAUUAGUUCAUUCUCUUUAUGUUCUUGUGACCCAGAUGAAUUUAAGAGGGAUCUGAGCAGUGUGUUCAGUUUUCUUGUGUUUGUUUCUCAUACUUUUGCCUAUCUGAAUCCAGUUCUUUGCACCAUGAUGCAGUCUCUAAUUAGAAUUGAAACCAUACAAACUGCCUCCUCAAACUCUUGUCUCAUUCCGUGAAUGGUUUGUUUUCAGAUUCUGCUUUUAUCCUUGUUAUUUGAUGUUUGCUUACAUAUUUUAUUGCAUAUAAUUCAAGUGCUGCAGUAAAUACAGAAUUACUAAUGGUAAUAGAUUUUCAUUAUGCUUUUCAUUAUAGCAUUUGAAUACUUUUUAACCACCAUAAAUGUAUCUUCACAACAUUGCAAAGAGAUUUUCCUCUCGUUUCACUGAUGCAGAGCUGUCAAAGUUCUCCACUGCAUCUGUCUGUUCCACCGUGACAAUAAACAGAUUCCCAACUUGCC